AUUGAACGCUGGCGGCAGGCCUAACACAUGCAAGCCGGGCGAGCGGCGGACGGGUGAGUAAUGUAUGGGGAUCUGCCUGAUGGAGGGGGAUAACUACUGGAAACGGUAGCUAAUACCGCACACCAUCAGAUGAACCCAUAUGGGAUUAGCUUGUAGGUGAGGUAACGGCUCACCUAGGCGACGAUCCCUAGCUGGUCUGAGAGGAUGAUCAGCCACACUGGGACUGAGACACGGCCCAUACGCCUGCGGGAGGCAGCAGUGGGGAAUCUUGAGAAAUGGACGCAAGCCUGAUGCAGCCAUGCCGCGUGUAUGAAGAAGACCUUCGGGUUGUAAAGUACUUUCCGUCGGGAGGCGUUACCGACAGAAGAAGCACCGGCUGACUCCGUGCCAGCAGCCGCGGUAAUUC
rnacentral:rRNA from 1 species